rnacentral:rRNA from 1 species
AACGAACGCUGGCGGCAUGCCUAACACAUGCAAGUCGAACGAAGCCUUCGGGCUUAGUGGCGCACGGGUGCGUAACACGUGGGAAUCUGCCCUUCGGUCGGAAUAACAGUUAGAAAUGACUGCUAAUACCGGAUGAUGACGAAAGUCCAAAGAUUUAUCGCCGAAGGAUGAGCCCGCGUAGGAUUAGGUAGUUGGUAGGGUAAUGGCCUACCAAGCCGACGAUCCUUAGCUGGUCUGAGAGGAUGAUCAGCCACACUGGGACUGAGACACGGCCCAGACUCCUACGGGAGGCAGCAGUGGGGAAUAUUGGACAAUGGGCGAAAGCCUGAUCCAGCAAUGCCGCGUGGGUGAUGAAGGCCUUAGGGUUGUAAAGCUCUUUUACCAGGGAUGAUAAUGACAGUACCUGGAGAAUAAGCUCCGGCUAACUCCGUGCCAGCCGCCGCAGUAA